rnacentral:lncRNA from 1 species
GGACUCUGCUGUUGAUAGGCAGGCAGAAAUGAAGCUGUAAAUGUGAAGAGCUGUCCCCCAGGUUACACGUCUUACAUUCUGGUUUCCAAUCCCCAUAUCCAGGAAGAAGAUCUAAAUAUGAAGCAGGAAAUUCUGAUGAAGGAGGUAGAGAAGAAAAGAAAGUCUCUGACACUCGUAACUGGUCCUUCCACACAGGAGCUUGAAGAGUGCGGGCUGAGACACCACAAGCUGAUGGAGGCCCUGGAGCAGGAGAAGGAGAAGCUGGCGCAGGAGGUGGCUCGCGUGCAGCAGGCCCGCGUCUCCAGAGAGGAGGAGCGGAGGAGAGCACG